GAACGCGAAGAACCUUACCAGGUCUUGACAUCCUUUGACAAUCCUAGAGAUAGGACUUUCCCUUCGGGGACAAAGUGACAGGUGGUGCAUGGUUGUCGUCAGCUCGUGUCGUGAGAUGUUGGGUUAAGUCCCGCAACGAGCGCAACCCCUAUUGUUAGUUGCCAGCAUUCAGUUGGGCACUCUAAUGAGACUGCCGGUGACAAACCGGAGGAAGGUGGGGAUGACGUCAAAUCAUCAUGCCCCUUAUGACCUGGGCUACACACGUGCUACAAUGGAUGGUACAACGAGCAGCAAGACCGCGAGGUCAAGCGAAUCUCUUAAAGCCAUUCUCAGUUCGGAUUGCAGGCUGCAACUCGCCUGCAUGAAGCCGGAAUCGCUAGUAAUCGCGGAUCAGCACGCCGCGGUGAAUACGUUCCCGGGUCUUGUACACACCG
rnacentral:rRNA from 1 species